rnacentral:lncRNA from 1 species
ACGACAAGGACAAGCUUGCCGACAAGCUCGAGUCUGAUGAGAAGGAGAAGAUCGAGACUGCUACGAAGGAGGCCCUCGAGUGGUUAGACGACAACCAAAAUGCCGAGAAAGAGGACUACGAAGAGAAGCUUAAGGAGGUGGAAGCUGUAUGUAACCCAAUCAUCACAGCCGUCUAUCAAAAAUCUGGAGGAGCACCUGGUGGAUCCUCGUCGGAAGAUGACGAUUCCCAUGAUGAACUGUAGGUAACUUUUUAGAGUCCAUUAACUACUGAUGACUAGUGAAGCGAGAAAAACGAAAUGGAGUUUAGAAGAGACGAGUGAUGUAAAUUUUGUCAUUUGGGGGCUGAGUCCCUUGCCUGCCUUCUUUUUCUUAAGAAGGAUUAUUUCUUUUCAAAUUACUUGUAGUUUUUGUUUUACAAGAUUCUCGAUGAUAAUUGACGCUUUGCGUAUGUAAUAUACAUUUUUCUGCCUUGACAAUAUGUUUCCUGCAGUAAAUGAGUUCGUAAAUUACGUUCAACAAACAAUAAUUAGUAAAAAUCUCAUAUAUUGAAUUAAUUGCCUCAAAAUUUUUGUUUGUAAAGCAAUAAUGGAGGCUUUGGGGAGCCAUUUAACUAAUAAAUAUUCUGAAGGGACGCUCAGGUCUCGAUACUCCCUGUAUAGAUGCGAUUGAGAUACUCUAUUGCAAGCAUGCAUUGGCUACUUUUGGGCUUGAUGCCUUGAUCCUGAGAGUUGUAGUGCAAACGUGAGCCAACCAUCAUUUGUUGGAAUCUUGUCGAAAAUUGUGGGUGGAUGAAUUAAAAGAGAGGAAGAUAAUGCUAUAUGUGUGGCUUAUGUGACCGCAUAAGCCUUCAAUGUUCGUGGUUGCAUAUGGUUUUUCAGUGGCCAAAGUGGCGACCGAAGCUAUAAUCAUGAGAUCGCAACGCAUGGUUAUAAAAAAAUGGCUGUUGGCUGGAAAUCUUUUUGAAUUUUUGGUGGUUUUCUUGGUGAAUCCAUGCAAAAAUGUGUUGGUAUUCGUCUCUAAACACAAGAAAAAUAUUCUAUUAUUCAUCCAAAUCUUUGAAGAGAUUAUCACAUAUUCAAAACCAUUUUUCACUUGUUCAUUUGAAGAUCACUUUUACUUUUGGUGAUCUUCUUUAAGGCUUGAUCAAUUCUACGAACUAUUUGCCAUUUAAUUCUUAAGAGCAUUGUGAGAGAAGACAAAUAUCGUUUAAGGACAAUGGUAUAAUCUUCGUGUUCAAGUCUUCUUCAAUAUAUACUUAUCUUCUUCUUUAUUUUUUUGUUCUCCAUUGCUAUAUUUUUAUAGCAUUCUUAAACGGCAUUUGUCAUUUUACUGCAAUGGAAACGGAAUCUAGACUUGCCACAAUCAAGAAGAUGAAUCAAGAUUUAGUGAGUUUGGAUAGAUUUGAUAGAUUCAACUUCAUAAGAUGGCAGAACAAACUCAAAAUUUUUUCUAACGGCAUUAAAAAUCUUCUACAUGCUUGAUAUAAAAUUGGAAUCAAUUCUCGAUGCAACGGACAAAAAUAUUGAUGAAGUUCGUGCCUAAAGAAAGAAAAGGGAAGAGGACGAACUAAUAUGUUGCCAUCACAUCCUAAAUGCUCUAUCGCAUCGAUUAUAUGAUCACUACAUCAACACGACUUCAGCAAAAGAGAUUUGGUAUGCACUUGAAAGCAAAUAUAAAGCCGAGGAGGAAAGUACCAAGAAUUUUUAUUUUCUAAAUAUUUUGAUUUCAAGUUUCUAGAUAAAAUUCAUUUGUUAUCUCGAGUGCAUGAGUUGCAAAUUAUUGUCGACAAAUUGCAAGCGGUGAAAAUUGAACUUUCGGUAAACCUUUCAAGUGGGUGCAAUCAUUGCUAAACUUUCGAGAUCUUGAAAAGGAGGAAGAAGAUUCUUCACAAUUCCAAAGAUUUUUCUUUUGAAGAUAUUUAAAAGUAUCUUCGCAUAGAGAAAGAGUCAAAGGGAAGAGAUAAGACUCAAAGUUCUUAUAAUGGCUCUUCGAAAGCUAAUGCCCUGGACAAUAUGGACAAUUCCAACAAAUAUAAAAAGAAAAGGAAACCUCUUGGUUCAAAAAAGAAUUGAGGGAAGUUCAAAAACAAAUCGAAGGGACCUUGCUAUGUUUAUUGAAAAUCGGGAUACUAUGCAAGAGAUUGUAGGCAUAAGCAAUAACCAAAUAAAGAAGGGCAAGUAAAUUCCAUAGAUGAGAUUAUUACUAUGAUGAGCCAAAUCAAUGUAAUCCAAAGCAAAGUUCCGAACUGAUAGUAUGACAUAUGUGCUAUCGUCCAUGUUUGUUAUAAUAAGUCUAUUUUCAAAACUUAUCAUUGCAUUGAAGAUGGUUAAUAGAUCCAAAUGAAAAAUGAAGGAAGAUCAAAAGUGAUUGGCAAAGGUAAUACGGAAAUCAUUUCCAUUUCGGGAAAGAAGAUCACUUUGACAAAUGUUCUUCAUGUACCAGAAAUGAUUAGAAACCCAGAAGUGGAGUUCUAUUGGAAAAACCAGGAAUUAUAAUUAUUUUUGAAUUUGAAAAACUUGUACUUACCCAUAAUGGACAUUUUGUUUGAAAUGACUAUUCCACUGAAAGAAUGGUCAAACUUUGUACUUUUGAGGAUAACUCUAAUAAAAAUAAAUUAUUUGCCUAUGUUACCGAUUCAUUUAAUUUAUGACAUGGUAGAUUUAGCAUAUAUAGGAGUUAGCACUACGAAAAGAAUGAUUAAAUGCAGAAUGAUACAAUGUGAAAUUGAUAACUUGGAAAAAUGUGAAAUAUGUAUUAAAUUGAAGACGAUUAAAAAGCCAUUUUAUAGUGUAUUAAGAUCAACAAACUUACUUUUACUUGUUCAUUCCGACAUAUGUGAAUUGAAUGUCAUGCCAACAAGAAGUGGUAAUAGAUAUUUCAUUACUUUCAUAAAUGAUGCUCUAGGUAUACUUAUGUAUAUUUGUUAAAGCAUAAAGAUGAAGUCUUUAUUGCCUCUAAAACAUAUAAAAUUGAAGUUGAAAAUCAAUUAAGAAGGAAAUUAAAAACUCUAAGAAGUGAUAUAGGUGAAGAAUAUUUUUCUAAUGAAUUCAAUAAGUUUUGUGAAUAAAAUGAAAUAAUACAUCAAUGUUCUGUAUCACGAACACCGAAAUAAAAUGGUUUAGCAGAAAGAAAGAAUAGGACAUGCUUAGAGAUGAUAAAUGCCAUGUUAAUAAAUUUUGAAUUACCAUUCAUAAAUGGAAGAAGCCUUACUUAGUGCUUGUCAUAUGGUAAAUAGGAUUCCUAUGAAAAAGAAUAAGAUUUCCCCACAUGAAAUAUGGAAAGAUAGGAAGCCAAAUAUUAAUUAUUUGAAGGUAUGUGGGUGUCUUGCUUAUUAUAAAAAGAGGAAUCCUAAGAGAACUAAAUUAGGUCCUAGAGGUAUUAAAUGUGCAUUUGUAGGAUAAGUUCUAAAUAGCAAGGCCUAUAGGUUAUUAAACCUUGAGCUAGCUGUCAUAAUAGAAUCAAGUGAUGUGAAAUUUUUCGAGAAUGUAUUAGUGACAAGAAAAUCUCAUAAUAAUGAAGACCUUCUGAAUUCUAGAGAACCACAAGCAGAGACAUUUAUAAGAGAUGUUGAAAGUGAAUCUCGAAAUAGUAAUAGAACUAGAAAAGAAAAAAGUCUAGGCUCAAAUGAAAUAGAUUCCCAACUUAUUUCUUUCCAUUUAGUAGCGGGAGAUAGUAAGGACGUUGUAAGAACAACUCCUUUUGUUCUUCAAGUGGAGAGUGAUCCUUAAACAUAUAAGGAAACAAUGUCUUCUAGAGAUUGUAUAUUCUGGAAAGAGGCGAUAAAUAAUGAAAUGGAUUCUAUUAUUUCAAAUAAUACUUGGGAAAUAGUUGAUCUACAGAAGGGUUUUAAAGCCAUUGGUUGCAAAUAUGUGUUUAGAAAGAAAUACAAUUUCGAUGAAAUACUUAAUACCUACAAAGCUAGAUUAGUAGUUAAAAGGUAUCGUCAAAAGGAAGGAAUAUAUUACUUUGACAUAUAUGCACCGUGGCUAGGAUAACCUCAAUAAGUAUAUUGUUUGCACUGACGUCAAUUUAUGAUUUACAUGUUCACCAAAUGGAUCUCAAGACGUCAUUCUUAAAUAGAGAUCUCGAAAAGGAGGUCUAUAUAAAACAAUCAAAAGCGUUUGUUGUACCGAAAAAUGAACAUAAAGUGCGCAAACUAAUGAAAAAGUGGCAUGUAAAAUUUGACUCUAAAAUAAUUUCGAAUGGUUUUAAUCACAAUUCAAUAGAUAAAUGUCUUUAUGCUAAAGUAAGUGACAGUAUAAUUACAUUAAUAUGUCUGUAUGUAGAUGAUAUAUGAAUCAUCAACUACAAUAUAGAUGGAAUUAAAGAAAUAAGAGGUUUCUGUCCUCUAUGUUCAAAAUGAAAGAUUUUGGACAAGUGAAUACUAUAUUUGGUAUCAAAGUUAAAAAUGAUAGUGGGGAUUUUACAUUGAGCCAAUUACAUUAUCUUGAAAAUGUGAUAAAUUCAAUCACUUGAACAUCAAAGAGGCUAAUACCCAUUUGGAUCUAAGUAUCAAGCUGAUAAAAAAUGAUGGAAGCCAAUAGUUCAAAUUGAAUACACAAGUUUUAUGUACGCGGCACCAUGGACAAGGUCGGAUUUUACAUUUGUUGUGAGUAAAGUAAGUAGGUUUAUUAGCAAUUUUCAAGUUUCUUACAUUAGAAUGCCAUAAGUAGGGUUCUUGGCUACUUAAAGAAAACCAAAAAACAUUGGACUAUAAUAUACACAGUUCCUUACUAUUUUGGAAGGAUAUAUUGAUGCUAGUUAGAUAUCGAGUACGGGAGAAACAAGUCCACUUCAGGUUGGAUAUUUACUUUUGGAGGUUGAGCAGUUUUUUGGAAGUCUAGGAAACAAACAUGCAUUACUCGUUCACCAAUGAAGUCAAAGUUUGUAAUGUUGGUUGAAACUGGAAAAGAAGUUGAGUGGCAUAAAGAUUUGUUGUAUGAAAUACCUUUAAAUAUAAAGGAUAUUUCUUCAACACCUAUCUUGUAUGAUAGUCAAGCUACUCUAGCUCGAGCCUAUAGUGAAGUAUAUAAUUGAAAGUCUAGACAUUUGAUAUGAGUCUAAUACAUAAGUAUAUAAGAAAAUUAAUCAAGCAUUAAAUAAUUUCUCUUGUACUUAUUAAGUCUAGUGAUAACUUAACUGAUUAGUUUACUAAACUUCCUACAAGAGAGUUAGUAAGAUCGACAUCAAAUAGGACAAGAUUGAAACUCCUGAAUUAAUUUCACUAAUAAUAGCAACCCUACCAAAGGUAUACUACAUAAGUAUAUUUAGGUUGAAAGGGUAAUAACAAGUUAUUCGAUAAGUGGAUAGAUUUCGACACUAUUAAACUAGUAAACCCUAUCCUUAAUAAAUAGUGUUGGUUGUUAUUCUUGGAGGGAUGAGUUAUAACAAAACUCUUAAUGAAGUUCAGUACGGGGUAUAAGUAUAUCUCUAAAAGUAACAAACAUACUGGAAGAACUUCACCUAUAUGAACUUCGAGGUGGUGCCGCCUCAUUAAAGAGUUAAAGUUUUUCUUGCUUUAAAAGUUUAAUGAAAAAUGAUAAGUGUAAGGCCAUAUUAGUACUAAACAAGUUAGAGGAACUUGUGAAAAUUUAAUACUUGUGUGUGUGUGUGAUUUCAUCGGUAUUGUAACAAGAAAUAAUUGGUUCAAAGCUUUUUAACUAUCCGGAAUUUCGAUAAUGCUUUAUGAAAAUUACAUAUAGUUAGACUCAAAUCGAAAGAUAUCUAAUGAAUGUAUUUCAAUGAUACUUUAGAUACCAUCUAAACUUGAUAUUUACCUAAUUCCUAUAAGUUUAAGAGCAUUUUAAUGUGUAUUUUGCUGUAUAUAUGUUGAUGAAAUUGAUGGGAAUGUGAUUGAAAAUAAGUAUGAAAAAUAUAUUAAAGUAAAGUAAAGUAAAGGGAAUCAAGUAGGUGCUUCCCAAGAGCUCUGUUAUCUUAGCUUAAUCAGCUUAAUGAAGUAUUCGAUAAUUCUAUGAUCAAAAUCCUCUCCUGCACAACAAAUGAACUUUCAGCAUCAUUAAACCCAACAAUAACUCACAAAAUUAUCGUUCUAAGCCUUCCUUUUUGAAGUGCAUAAUAAUAUAUGUUGGACAAUUUUUAAAGAUAAAAUCGAAACUUAAUAUGUUAUCAAUACAUAUUUCAGAUUGCCGAAUUGAUCAUACAUCAAAUUGAUUUCUCAGCUAUAUCAUAAAAGGACAAUGUGUUCAAGGGGUGAGUAUUUGAAUAUAUUACGUUUCGAACUUUUGACCUAUAACUGCAUGACACACUGCCACUUGCUACAGAAAUAUAUCAGUCAUUUUCGAAAUAUUGAUUUUCUAAUAAAUGCAAAGAUGGAUAUAUUAGCAAGAAAUAUCUGUACGUCCAAGAUGGGUGUUUCCAUUCGUGGAAAGAACCUCAAAGACACCAUUGUCAAUGGUCAAGAAUUUAUAUUUAUUCCUCAAUUUGGAAGCUGGUUCUUUAUCUUCAAUUGGAAAGUUUGUUCAUGCUAGUAUGCCCUGAAUUUGAUAAAAGUUACUACUUCCCAAGAUUUAAAAGAGAAAAUAUUGUGCUGGAAAGGCUCAACUAAAUGAUGCAAUUUUAGGCAGUGUUGUGCAACUUAUGAUGGAAACAUACUGCCCUUUUUAAUAAUUAACAGCUUCCGCUUUUAUAUGAGCCAGUUAACGUUGUUGCGACCUGUUUAUUAAAAAAUGUACACGUGUCUCACUUUCAUGGGAAAAAAACACAUUGGGGCACUGAAUAUAGGAUUUAUACGAAUACGUAUGGCCAUUUUCUAACCACUUGAGCUUUUAGAUGAAAUGGUUAACAAACCAAAAACAAACUUUAGAAGAUGGAAUUAACCAAGUGGUCUCACUGUCUAAAUGCCAACUGGAAAGAUUGAUAUGUAUGGUUGUCAACAAGUAAUUGUUAUGUUAUAACGCUACUGCUUCUCAAUACGUCCUUGGCUUAUGGUUUGAUUGCUUUGGCUUCGGUGUUUGAAUUGUUAUUAAUUCGCCAAAUGAUUUCAUGAGUACUAAAUUGACUAACCUUGUCUUGUCAAACAGGUUGUCUAUCAGCAAUUUCUAUUGCGAAGGAGGAGGCCACCAAAUUGGGAACAGUCAUUGGUAUAGACCUUGGUACUACCUAUUCCUAUGUUGGUGUUUACAAGAAUGGACAUGUAGAAAUCAUAGCUAAUGACCAAGGAAAUCGAAUUACCCCAUCAUGGGUUGCAUUCACUGACACUGAAAGAUUGAUCGGUGAGGCUGCAAAGAACCAGGCAGCUGUCAACCCUGAGAGGACUGUCUUUGAUGUUAAAAGACUCAUUGGAAGAAAGUAAUUCCUUUUUGCUCAAUUUAUAACAGUAUUUUCUUCUACAUUUUGAUGAAUAAAUACUGAUUAAAGUUUUGAAUUGUUUCUUGACAGGUUCGAGGAUAAGGAAGUUCAGAGGGAUAUGAAGCUUGUUCCUUACAAAAUAGUGAAUAAAGAUGGAAAGCCUUACAUCCAAGUCAAAAUUAGGGAUGGUGAGACCAAAGUCUUCAGCCCUGAGGAAAUCAGUGCCAUGAUUUUAGGCAAGAUGAAAGAAACAGCAGAAGCAUUCCUUGGGAAGACAAUUAAGGAUGCUGUGGUAACAGUUCCUGGUAAGCUGUCUUUAACUUGUCUUUUAUUGAAACAUUAACUGCAAUGACAUUUUGAGUAUUUGGUCAUACUGACCAUUUAUUUGUGGUUGACUGGCAGCAUAUUUCAAUGAUGCCCAGAGGCAAGCUACCAAGGACGCUGGUGUAAUUGCUGGCUUGAAUGUGGCAAGAAUUAUCAAUGAACCAACAGCAGCAGCAAUUGCCUAUGGUUUGGACAAGAAAGGUGGUGAGAAGAACAUCCUUGUCUUUGACCUUGGUGGUGGAACCUUUGAUGUCAGUAUCUUGACCAUUGACAAUGGUGUCUUUGAGGUGCUUGCCACUAAUGGAGAUACCCAUCUUGGAGGUACAGAUCUUUCUUUUUAUCAGCUCUGCUCCAAUAUAUAUAAUAAGUGCAUUUAUUUAGUAAAUCAAUGUUUGGAAACUGAUCUAUCCCACCUGGAAGCGGAAGUGAAUCAUGCAGUUAUAGUAAUGAAAAUUCAAAUAUUUAUACAGACAAUCCUUGAACACAGUUUGUCAAUGAUAUAGCUGAGAACAUCAACUGGAUUAUGAUCCAUUUAGCAAUCUGAAAUAUAUAUUGUUCAGAGACAUCUCAUGAUAAUAUGUUAAGUUUGAUAUCAACAUUUAAAAUUGUACAGUGUAAAUACUGGUUAUUCACUGGACGUGAUUAUUCUGCACUGCAAAGAGGAAAGGGUAGAAUGAUCAUUCUAUGAGUUCUUGUGUUGUACAAUAUAUGAAAGUUUCAUUUGGUGUGCAGGAGAGGAUUUUGAUCACAGAGUUAUGGAAUACUUCAUCAAGUUGAUUAAGAAAAAGCACGGAAAGGACAUCAGUAAAGAUAACAGAGCUCUUGGGAAGCUAAGGAGAGAAUGUGAACGUGCAAAGAGAGCCCUGAGCAGCCAGCACCAAGUCCGUGUUGAAAUUGAAUCACUUUUUGAUGGUAUAGAUUUCUCUGAACCAUUGACCCGUGCCAGAUUUGAGGAGUUGAACAACGACCUCUUCAGGAAGACCAUGGGACCUGUGAAGAAAGCCAUGGAAGAUGCUGGUAUGGAGAAAAACCAGAUUGACGAAAUUGUCCUUGUUGGUGGAAGCACCAGGAUUCCUAAAGUUCAGCAGCUUCUCAAGGAUUAUUUCGAUGGAAAGGAGCCCAACAAGGGUGUGAACCCAGACGAGGCAGUUGCUUACGGUGCUGCUAUCCAAGGAAGUAUUCUGAGUGGAGAGGGUGGUGAAGAAACCAAAGGUACUUAUUGCAUGUGUUGUUAUCUUGUGGACUGAUUCAAUGCUGCUUGUUUUCUUGCUAUUAAUCUUGAUUUAGUGAUGUUUUAGACAGCUUUGUCUGAAUUGAUCACCGAUGUGUGUGCAUUUGUGUGCAGACAUCCUUCUCUUGGACGUUGCACCACUCACCCUUGGUAUUGAAACUGUUGGUGGAGUUAUGACCAAGUUAAUUCCGAGGAAUACUGUUAUCCCAACCAAGAAGUCUCAAGUUUUCACAACUUACCAAGACCAGCAAACUACUGUCUCAAUCCAGGUAACGUGUUCCGAGCCAAAUUAAUUCUUACCCUGUUUGUACUGUUAGGUAAAUGGAUGAUUAUGUCCUCCCUAAAAUGGCAUGCUUGCGCUUUAGCUGAGUGUCCGACAAUUUGAUAACAGGUAUUCGAAGGAGAAAGGAGUCUUACGAAGGACUGCAGGCUGCUCGGAAAGUUUGAUCUGACCGGCAUUCCUCCAGCACCGAGGUUUGUUGCAUUCUUUGGAUAAAUAAUUUGUUAUGACCGAACUUGAUGUUAUAUUUUGUUAUCUGAAGGAUCCUGUGUUCUAUUUGAACAGGGGAACCCCUCAAAUUGAGGUUACAUUCGAAGUUGAUGCCAAUGGUAUCCUGAACGUCAAGGCAGAAGACAAGGGCAGUGGUAAAUCAGAAAAGAUCACCAUCACGAACGAGAAGGGUAGAUUGAGCCAAGAGGAGAUAGAUAGAAUGGUUCGUGAAGCAGAAGAGUUUGCCGAGGAAGACAAGAAGGUGAAGGAGAGAAUCGAUGCUCGUAACAGUCUCGAGACAUACAUAUACAACAUGAAGAACCAAAUCAACGACAAGGACAAGCUUGCCGACAAGCUCGAGUCUGAUGAGAAGGAGAAGAUCGAGACUGCUACGAAGGAGGCCCUCGAGUGGUUAGACGACAACCAAAAUGCCGAGAAAGAGGACUACGAAGAGAAGCUUAAGGAGGUGGAAGCUGUAUGUAACCCAAUCAUCACAGCUGUCUAUCAAAAAUCUGGAGGAGCACCUGGUGGAUCCUCGUCGGAAGAUGAUGAUUCCCAUGAUGAACUGUAGGUAAAUUUUUAGAGUCCAUUAACUACUGAUGACUAGUGAAGCGAGAAAAACGAAAUGGAGUUUAGAAGAGACGAGUGAUGUAAAUUUUGUCAUUUGGGGGCUGAGUCCCUUGCCUGCCUUCUUUUUCUUAAGAAGGAUUAUUUCUUUUCAAAUUACUUGUAGUUUUUGUUUUACAAGAUUCUCGAUGAUAAUUGACGCUUUGCGUAUGUAAUAUACAUUUUUCUGCCUUGACAAUAUGUUUCCUGCAGUAAAUGAGUUCGUAAAUUACGUUCAACAAACAAUAAUUAGUAAAAAUCUCAUAUAUUGAAUUAACUGCCUCAAAAUUUUUGUUUGUAAAGCAAUAAUGGAGGCUUUGGGGAGCCAUUUAACUAAUAAAUAUUCCGAAGGGACGUUAAGGUCUCGAUACUCACUAUAUCGAUGCGAUUGAGAUACUCUAUUGCAAGCAUGCAUUGGCUACUUUUGGGCUUGAUGCCUUGAUCCUGAGAGUUGUAGUGCAAACGUGAGCCAACCAUCAUUUGUUGGAAUCUUGUCGAAAAUUGUGGGUGGAUGAAUUAAAAGAGAGGAAGAUAAUGCUAUAUGUGUGGCUUAUGUGACCGCAUAAGCCUUCAAUGUUCGUGGUUGCAUAUGGUUUUUCAGUGGCCAAAGUGGCGACCGAAGCUAUAAUCAUGAGAUCGCAACGCAUGGUUAUAAAAAAAUGGCUGUUGGCUGGAAAUCUUUUUGAAUUUUUGGUGGUUUUCUUGGUGAAUCCAUGCAAAAAUGUGUUGGUAUUCGUCUCUAAACACAAGAAAAAUAUUCUAUUAUUCUUCCAAAACUUUGAAGAGAUUAUCACAUAUUCAAAACCAUUUUUCACUUUUUCAUUUGAAGAUCACUUUUGCUUUUGGUGAUUUUCUUUAAGGCUUGAUCAAUUCUACAAACUAUUUGCCAUUUUAAUUCUUAAGAGCAUUGUGAGAGAAGACAAAUAUCGUUUAAGGACAAUGGUAUAAUCUUCGUGUUCAAGUCUUCUUCAAUAUAUACUUAUCUUCUUCUUUAUUUUUUUGUUCUCCAUUGCUAUAUUUUUAUAGCAUUCUUAAACGGCAUUUGUCAUUUUACUGCAAUGGAAACGGAAUCUAGACUUGCCACAAUCAAGAAGAUGAAUCAAGAUUUAGUGAGUUUGGAUAGAUUUGAUAGAUUCAACUUCAUAAGAUGGCAGAACAAACUCAAAAUUUUUUCUAACGGCAUUAAAAAUCUUCUACAUGCUUGAUAUAAAAUUGGAAUCAAUUCUCGAUGCAACGGACAAAAAUAUUGAUGAAGUUCGUGCCUAAAGAAAGAAAAGGGAAGAGGACGAACUAAUAUGUUGCCAUCACAUCCUAAAUGCUCUAUCGCAUCGAUUAUAUGAUCACUACAUCAACACGACUUCAGCAAAAGAGAUUUGGUAUGCACUUGAAAGCAAAUAUAAAGCCGAGGAGGAAAGUACCAAGAAUUUUUAUUUUCUAAAUAUUUUGAUUUCAAGUUUCUAGAUAAAAUUCAUUUGUUAUCUCGAGUGCAUGAGUUGCAAAUUAUUGUCGACAAAUUGCAAGCGGUGAAAAUUGAACUUUCGGUAAACCUUUCAAGUGGGUGCAAUCAUUGCUAAACUUUCGAGAUCUUGAAAAGGAGGAAGAAGAUUCUUCACAAUUCCAAAGAUUUUUCUUUUGAAGAUAUUUAAAAGUAUCUUCGCAUAGAGAAAGAGUCAAAGGGAAGAGAUAAGACUCAAAGUUCUUAUAAUGGCUCUUCGAAAGCUAAUGCCCUGGACAAUAUGGACAAUUCCAACAAAUAUAAAAAGAAAAGGAAACCUCUUGGUUCAAAAAAGAAUUGAGGGAAGUUCAAAAACAAAUCGAAGGGACCUUGCUAUGUUUAUUGAAAAUCGGGAUACUAUGCAAGAGAUUGUAGGCAUAAGCAAUAACCAAAUAAAGAAGGGCAAGUAAAUUCCAUAGAUGAGAUUAUUACUAUGAUGAGCCAAAUCAAUGUAAUCCAAAGCAAAGUUCCGAACUGAUAGUAUGACAUAUGUGCUAUCGUCCAUGUUUGUUAUAAUAAGUCUAUUUUCAAAACUUAUCAUUGCAUUGAAGAUGGUUAAUAGAUCCAAAUGAAAAAUGAAGGAAGAUCAAAAGUGAUUGGCAAAGGUAAUACGGAAAUCAUUUCCAUUUCGGGAAAGAAGAUCACUUUGACAAAUGUUCUUCAUGUACCAGAAAUGAUUAGAAACCCAGAAGUGGAGUUCUAUUGGAAAAACCAGGAAUUAUAAUUAUUUUUGAAUUUGAAAAACUUGUACUUACCCAUAAUGGACAUUUUGUUUGAAAUGACUAUUCCACUGAAAGAAUGGUCAAACUUUGUACUUUUGAGGAUAACUCUAAUAAAAAUAAAUUAUUUGCCUAUGUUACCGAUUCAUUUAAUUUAUGACAUGGUAGAUUUAGCAUAUAUAGGAGUUAGCACUACGAAAAGAAUGAUUAAAUGCAGAAUGAUACAAUGUGAAAUUGAUAACUUGGAAAAAUGUGAAAUAUGUAUUAAAUUGAAGACGAUUAAAAAGCCAUUUUAUAGUGUAUUAAGAUCAACAAACUUACUUUUACUUGUUCAUUCCGACAUAUGUGAAUUGAAUGUCAUGCCAACAAGAAGUGGUAAUAGAUAUUUCAUUACUUUCAUAAAUGAUGCUCUAGGUAUACUUAUGUAUAUUUGUUAAAGCAUAAAGAUGAAGUCUUUAUUGCCUCUAAAACAUAUAAAAUUGAAGUUGAAAAUCAAUUAAGAAGGAAAUUAAAAACUCUAAGAAGUGAUAUAGGUGAAGAAUAUUUUUCUAAUGAAUUCAAUAAGUUUUGUGAAUAAAAUGAAAUAAUACAUCAAUGUUCUGUAUCACGAACACCGAAAUAAAAUGGUUUAGCAGAAAGAAAGAAUAGGACAUGCUUAGAGAUGAUAAAUGCCAUGUUAAUAAAUUUUGAAUUACCAUUCAUAAAUGGAAGAAGCCUUACUUAGUGCUUGUCAUAUGGUAAAUAGGAUUCCUAUGAAAAAGAAUAAGAUUUCCCCACAUGAAAUAUGGAAAGAUAGGAAGCCAAAUAUUAAUUAUUUGAAGGUAUGUGGGUGUCUUGCUUAUUAUAAAAAGAGGAAUCCUAAGAGAACUAAAUUAGGUCCUAGAGGUAUUAAAUGUGCAUUUGUAGGAUAAGUUCUAAAUAGCAAGGCCUAUAGGUUAUUAAACCUUGAGCUAGCUGUCAUAAUAGAAUCAAGUGAUGUGAAAUUUUUCGAGAAUGUAUUAGUGACAAGAAAAUCUCAUAAUAAUGAAGACCUUCUGAAUUCUAGAGAACCACAAGCAGAGACAUUUAUAAGAGAUGUUGAAAGUGAAUCUCGAAAUAGUAAUAGAACUAGAAAAGAAAAAAGUCUAGGCUCAAAUGAAAUAGAUUCCCAACUUAUUUCUUUCCAUUUAGUAGCGGGAGAUAGUAAGGACGUUGUAAGAACAACUCCUUUUGUUCUUCAAGUGGAGAGUGAUCCUUAAACAUAUAAGGAAACAAUGUCUUCUAGAGAUUGUAUAUUCUGGAAAGAGGCGAUAAAUAAUGAAAUGGAUUCUAUUAUUUCAAAUAAUACUUGGGAAAUAGUUGAUCUACAGAAGGGUUUUAAAGCCAUUGGUUGCAAAUAUGUGUUUAGAAAGAAAUACAAUUUCGAUGAAAUACUUAAUACCUACAAAGCUAGAUUAGUAGUUAAAAGGUAUCGUCAAAAGGAAGGAAUAUAUUACUUUGACAUAUAUGCACCGUGGCUAGGAUAACCUCAAUAAGUAUAUUGUUUGCACUGACGUCAAUUUAUGAUUUACAUGUUCACCAAAUGGAUCUCAAGACGUCAUUCUUAAAUAGAGAUCUCAAAAAGGAGGUCUAUAUAAAACAAUUAAAAGGGUUUGUUGUACCGAAAAAUGAAUAUAAAGUGUGCAAACUAAUGAAAAAGUGGCAUGUAAAAUUUGACUCUAAAAUAAUUUCGAAUGGUUUUAAUCACAAUUCAAUAGAUAAAUGUCUUUAUGCUAAAGUAAGUGACAGUAUAAUUACAUUAAUAUGUCUGUAUGUAGAUGAUAUAUGAAUCAUCAACUACAAUAUAGAUGGAAUUAAAGAAAUAAGAGGUUUCUGUCCUCUAUGUUCAAAAUGAAAGAUUUUGGACAAGUGAAUACUAUAUUUGGUAUCAAAGUUAAAAAUGAUAGUGGGGAUUUUACAUUGAGCCAAUUACAUUAUCUUGAAAAUGUGAUAAAUUCAAUCACUUGAACAUCAAAGAGGCUAAUACCCAUUCGGAUCUAAGUAUCAAGCUGAUAAAAAAUGAUGGAAGCCAAUAGUUCAAAUUGAAUACACAAGUUUUAUGUACGCGGCACCAUGGACAAGGUCGGAUUUUACAUUUGUUGUGAGUAAAGUAAGUAGGUUUAUUAGCAAUUUUCAAGUUUCUUACAUUAGAAUGCCAUAAGUAGGGUUCUUGGCUACUUAAAGAAAACCAAAAAACAUUGGACUAUAAUAUACACAGUUCCUUACUAUUUUGGAAGGAUAUAUUGAUGCUAGUUAGAUAUCGAGUACGGGAGAAACAAGUCCACUUCAGGUUGGAUAUUUACUUUUGGAGGUUGAGCAGUUUUUUGGAAGUCUAGGAAACAAACAUGCUUACUCGUUCAACAUUGAAGCUAGAGUUUGUAAUGUUGGUUGAAAUUGGAAAAGAAGUUGAGUGGGAUAAAGAUUUGUUGUAUGAAAUACCUUUAAAUAUAAACGAUAUUUCUUCAACACCUAUCUUGUAUGAUAGUCAAGCUACUCUAGCUCGAGCCUAUAGUGAAGUAUAUAAUUGAAAGUCUAGACAUUUGAUAUGAGUCUAAUACAUAAGUAUAUAAGAAAAUUAAUCAAGCAUUAAAUAAUUUCUCUUUUACUUAUUAAGUUUAGUGAUAACUUAGCUGAUCAGUUUACUAAACUUCGUGCAAGAGAGUUAGUAAGAUCGACAUCAAAUAGGACAGGAUUGAAACUCCUUAAUUAAUUUCUAAUAAUAGCAACCCUACCAAAGGUAUACUACAUAAGUAUAUUUAGGUUGAAAGGGUAAUAACAAGUUAUUCGAUAAGUGGAUAGAUUUCGACACUAUUAAACUAGUAAACCCUAUCCUUAAUAAAUAGUGUUGGUUGUUAUUCUUGGAGGGAUGAGUUAUAACAAAACUCUUAAUGAAGUUCAGUACGGGGUAUAAGUAUAUCUCUAAAAGUAACAAACAUACUGGAAGAACUUCACCUAUAUGAACUUCGAGGUGGUGCCGCCUCAUUAGAGAGUUAGAGUUUUUCUCGCUUUAAAAGUUUAAUGAAAAAUAAUAAGCGUAAGGCCAUAUUAGUACUAAGCAAGUUAGAGGAACUUGUGAAAAUUUAAUACUUGUGUGUGUGAUUUCAUUGGAAUUGUAACAAGGAAUAAUUGGUUCAAAGCUUUUUAACUAUCUAGAAUUUCGAUAAUGCUUUAUGAAAAUUACAUAUAGUUAGAUUCAAAUCGAAAGAUAUCUGAUGAGUGUAUUUCACUCAUACUUUAGAUACCAUCUAAACUUGAUAUUUAGCUAAUUCCAAUCAGUUUAAGAGCAUUUUAGUGUGUAUUUUGCUAUAUAUAUGUUGAUGAAAUUGAAGGAAAUAAGCAAAAGUUGGAAAAAUUGGAGAAAUGGGCCAAAUUGUAAGAGAUUCGAAGUUCGAGGACUAAAAUACAAAUAAUUAAAAGUUGUUUCAGACCUCAUAAUAAAGAUCCGAUAGUGUUAGGAGUCAAUUGGAUGAAGAAAUAUGUCAAAGUGAUCAAAUUUAGUUAAAAUAUGAUCACAAAUCAAUUUCCAACCGAAAAGUUAUGCUUCGGAGUUUAGUCUCAUAUUGAGACCCAUUUUUUUCAUAGCAAACGAUCGAAUUGGAGAAUGAUGUUUGAAGCAAAAUUGUAAUCCUUUGAGUUAGCUUUCAAUACAUUUUGAAUCACCUUAAUUGGAUAUUGGAUGAAAAAGUUACGAUAAAAAUAAUUAAAAUUGUGUAGUGCUCUCUUCCACCCGAAGUGGGCGCCAGAAUGCCCUCGUUGCUAAAAAAAUAGAAUGCUCGGUGCAACAGCACCGCUUCAAUGGCACCAAGGUGUCGGCCAUGCGGGAAAGGGUUUUUUAAUAUUUUUGGACUCUUUUCUUGGCCCAAUUAAACCCUAAUUCGUCCAAGACCCCAAAACACUAAAAUACAUCAAAAACCUAUUUUCACAUAGAGUUCAAGGGGAAAGAUUGAACAAUUCUAGAAUUCAAAGGAGGCAAGAUUGAAAAAAUCGAAGCAAGAACAACAUCAAGGAAGAAGGUCGAAGAUCCGCCCACAAAACUAGUUUUUGCUAUCAUCUUCUUUAUGUUGUUUAUUAUGAAUUGUGUUUAUUUCAAGGAUUACAUCAUGAACUAAACAAUUUAUCUAGGGUUUGAUGUCGCCGAACAUGAGAUUAAGUUUGAUGUUAUCUAAAUUAUUUCUUUUGAUUUUUCACUUAUAUUUAAUUGUAUCAUGAAUUUAAUGCUUUCAAUUAUCUGAUCAAUAAAUUGAAUGAAUAGAUGCUAGUCAAUUCCAACACUCGAAAAAGGGAAAUUUAGGCAUGAUCAUAAGAUUGACACAACAUAGAUUUUAUGGGUUUUGAGAGAAAUUAUAGGAUCUAUGAAUCUCACUCCAUAAAGAACUAGGACUUUGAUAAAUUCUUGAUUUUAAUUCAAUAUAGAGAUAUUGGAGUUGGAAUUUAGGAUUAAUUUCGGGCCAACACUCGAGAGAGGAGAGAGAAAUAUAUUAGGAUUCUUGCUUUUAAAUAUGGAAAAAUUAACUGGAAUAAUUGGAAAUCAUUGAUUCAUAAUUGAGAGUUAGGUGAAUCAUUCCCUAGAUUUCUUAUCUUGAUAAUUUGCAUUCAUCAACUUUAUCACAACAAAUCAUGUUAUGCCAGUUUAAAACAUUCAUUCAACCAACCAUUUAUCUAAAUAAAGUAGAAGUUACUCAACUAUAGUACUUAGUAGGAAUUAGAUUACAAUUCAUGUGGGUUUGACACUUUUAACUCCAUAUUAUAUUAAAAAAUUGACACUGUACACUUGCGGUAUAAAUCACAUUGCAUAAAACGCGUGGUAAUAUUUAAUUUUUAUGCAUGUGUGUUGAUAUUUGAUUAUGUUAUUAAUGUUAAUUUUGAAUACGUGGGGGAUUGUUGGAAUCUUUUUGUUCAAAAUCGUGAGUGGAUGAAUCAAAAGAGAGAAAAAGGAAUAUAAUGCCAUACGUAUGGCUUAUUCCACCGCAUAAGCUUUCCAUGCUUACGGUUGCAUAUGCUAUUUCAGUGGUCAAAGUGGCGACCAAAGCUUUAACCAUGCGACCGCAUAGCAAGAGCCUAGUAGUCUCAUGGUUAUAAAAAAUGACCUUUGGCUGAAUUAUUUUUCGAAUUUUUGGUGGUUUUCUUGAUGAAUCCAUGUACAUGUUCAUAGUGAGUUGGAACACUUCAUGUAGUGAUUAUUGAAUGCUAUAAAUAUGCGUUGGUAUUCAUUCCCAAACACAAGAAAAUAUUCUAUUAUUCAUCCAAAACUUAGAAGAGAUUUAUCACAUAUUCAAAACCAUUUUUCGCUUGUUCAUUUGAAGAUCGUUUUUGCUUUUAGUGUUGUUCUUUAAGGCUUGAUCGAUCCUACAAACUAUUUGUUAUUUUAAUCCUUACUAGCAUUGUGAGAGGAUGCAAAUAUUGUUAGAGGACAACGAUAUAAUCUUCGUGUCCAAGUCUUCUUCAAUAUAUACUUAUCUUCUUCUUCAGUUUUUGUUCUUCAUUUCUAUAUUUUUAUAACAUAUUCUACAAAAGUCACUGGCAUUCUUGUCUCUGUAGGAUUACACCUCUUGCACUCACUAUUUAUACUCAUGCCUAAAUUGAACAUCUAGGUAUGUUUAUGUUAUUGUAGCCACACAUAAAUAUUUUUCCAAUUGCUUUAUGAUUUAAAGUAUUAGAGAGGCUACGGGAACAACUUUCCUAUCAUUUUUUGUAGGUUGUUCGAAGAAAGUGUCUGUGUACCUCAUUCGUGUUUUUCCCAACUCAUCUCUUAUUAGAUUUUCGAAAAGCAUCAUUGGCAUAGUCUGUGAGAAAACCUACUCAAAGUCAUGGUAGACACACAGUUAAUACAUCAUGCUUCUAGGCCUUCUAUCUAAGGUUCCAUGACUUCUCAAGUCCCUGUUCCUUAGGCUCCUCAUUGCUGGAGAAGCCUCUUCAGAUCACAAUUAGAAGGAUCCUUUAAAACAUCUACAAGGUUAACACGACACCUCAAGCAUUAACAAUAUAAGAGGCAUGCAAUGACUUAAGGCAAAAGUUCGUGACCUUGACUGGAGCCUUAUGUCAGUACACCUACCUUUUCCUCAAUACCCAAAUAUCCAGAUCCACUUCUGUAGUAUUCGAUGCCUCAUACUAGAUACCUUUUGCUCAUAUCCCAUGAACCUUAGGCUCGCCCUAUGCUUCCACAUGGUUCUCUCAUACUUUAUGUGAUGGGCACAGAAACUAGCCCCAGACACAAGACCUUAGGGAUCGACACUUCGAAUCUAUCUUUGGCAUGUCCUCGAGGAUGCCAUUACCAAUACCCUUGGCCUUCUAUAGGCUCUAUCACGUUGACAUAAUAGCAAUUCACCCCCAAGAGCAUCCCCGUUCACUCCAGUGAUCAUUGCUAACCCAUUCCUUGAAUUGAAGAGUUUCCUCCAUCCACUUUAGUACCUAUACGAACAUGAUGACGUUGCAUUGCAGGGUCAUCCCGACCCUAUCAUGCAAGGCCUUCCCUCAGACGCAUCUCCUCCUCGAGCCUCUUCAGCUCAUUCUCGAAGGGAAAAUGCAUUUAAGAAAAUAUAUAUUAACUAAAAAAUAAUAAAUGAAUGUUGGAAAAAGUAAAAUGAAGAAUUUUUUGAAGUGUAUAAAAUAUUUUAUUCUUUAAAUUUAAAAUGUUAUGCACUAUAACCAAGAUGCCAUUUAAUGAUAAAUAGUCUCUUGGGGAUGCACGUAUUCUCUUUAUCUACUAAGUGAUGAAAAUGUAUUAUUAUUACCUGCUAUACAUUACGGUGGGUGUACUCCAUUGAGACUUUUGAAGACUUCGAUGAAUUUUUUUAAGUGAUGAUUUUUGUGAAUUCUGUGAAUCUCUUAUAGAUUUGUAUGAAAUUAGUGGAAAUUUUUUGUCAACUUUUAUGGAUUUUCAUUUUAAAAAUUUUAUAAACUUUUGUGGAACUCAAAAUACUUUUAAAAACUUUCAUUUGAAAUAGAAUUCACAUGAAUUUGGUGUGAAAUUCUCACAUACGAGGUGUUAGUUCUCACAAUUUCCCUUUUCAUUCCCUUUCUUCUUCCUAUGUAAUAAAAAAAUUGAAAAAUAAAAAUUUAAGACCUCAAUUAAAUAAAUAAUAAUCAAAAUUAUACAUAUAUAUCUGAUUUAGAGGGCGUUUAAUACCCAUUUUUUUGGAAAUUUUUUUUAAAAUAGUAAAUUGAUGGAAAAUGUGUGGUUAAAAAAUAAGGAAAAGUUCUAGAUUUAUGUGUAAUAUUUUAUUAAUAAAAAAUGUGUGGUUGAAAAAAAGAGAGAAAAAUGUAUUUUGAAAAAAAUGGAUACCAAAUGGAGCCUUAAUAUUAUUAGUAUAGUAUAUUUUUAAAAAUAAAUAAAAAGCAAUAUAUUUAAAUUAAAUUAUGAUUUUUUCAUAUAAAAUUUUAUAAUUUAAUAAAAAAUAGAUUUUUUUUCACAAAAAAAUGAAUGAAAAAAGAAAUUAAAAAGUUAUAAGAAUCCAAUUUACUUUUUUCGAAUAAAAUAGAGAUAAAUAAUAAGAGAUAAAGAAAGAUAAAUGUAAUAUAAUCAAUAGAAAAUAUAAAUUUUAAUCAUACAUGUCUAUAGAAGGUUAAAGGAAAGAAAGUAGGAGUACGUGUGAAUAUCAAUGUGAAUUUUAGAAAUGGAACCAUUGUUUCCAUAGCUAAUUAUGGAAUCGAACCGGAACUGAACCAAUUGGUUCCAGUUUGUUACAUCCAGUUCUUUAAAUUGUAAAUGUCAAAAUAAAACGUCCACUAAUAAAAAAUCUAAAGAUGUCGCCAACGUGAUACUUUUAACAAAAUAUAGGAGAAUCGAACAUACUAUUCAAAAAUUAAAAGAAAACUAAGUAUACAAAUUUAAAAACAAUAUCCAAAUAAUUUAAAUUACUACCAUCAACAUAUAUAAACUGUAUAGUACUCCAAUGAUUAAACAAACUUCCAUUAAAAUCAAAAUCCUACAUUGAAUUGGACACCCUUUAAAAAUUUAUUGCAACUUCUAGUUCUAUCGGUUAUGAUUUGUAAAAGUCUAGAUGAAAAGUUUCGAUCGGAUCAAUAACUAUGUAAUCAAAUUGAAGAAAAAAUAAAAAUUUUGCAUCUUAGAAAUGAAAUUAUAUGUUAUAAAUAAAUUUAUUUAGGUAUUUAUUUGCCCAAUAUUCUAAUUUAGUUUGAGAAUCAAUUAAUCAAAGAAUUAUAAAAGAUAGAAUUAAAAAAUCAAAGAGAAGAAGGAAAGUGCUAGAGUUCAAAAUAAAGAAAGAACCCGAUUAUUAUUAUAAAAAUGAUUGGAGAUUGAGUAAUAUAUUUUACAAAAAAAUAAAAAAAAAAUAAAAAAUCCUAUGAGAACCAUCCGAUUCCUCGCGGUUCCCAUACUAGAAUUGGGAAUCGGACCUGAACCAGUUGGUUCUUAAUAAUUUCUCUCAAAAUCAAAUCGUCUUUUAGAAGAUCCAGAACCAAACCGAUCGGUUCUACAUGGUUUCGGUCCGGAAAAAAUGCCCGCUUAUAAAAGAAAGAUUGAAUUUUUUUUUUAAUUUUUUUUUUAUUAUUUUUUGGUGAAAAUAUCCCAAAAUCUCGUGAUUAAUGAGAGACAAAUUUAAAAUUUUAUAUCAGUACUUUUUGCUUAAAAGUUAGUACUUCAAAAACUUUUAUAAAAGUCUCUAGAAGUUAUUAAAAUUUAAGUAUCCCAAGAUUUAUAAAGACUUUUAAAAAGUUUUAAUUGAAUACACUGUAACUUUUAAACACUUUUAAAAGUUUAUAAAAAUUUCAAUUGAAUACAUUGUGACUUUUAGAAAGUCUCAAAAAAUCUCAAUUGAAUGCAUCUAAACUUUUUAAAUUCCAAAAAAUCAUUAAAGACUAAUGCUUGGAGUACAUAAUGUAUACCAUAAUGGUGUUCAUAAUGCCCAAGUAGCACUCCCAGGCGCCCCCUACAAUAGGGGGCACCACUUGAGCAUUAUGGACACCAUUAUGGUGUCCAUUAUGUUCAAGAAGAAUAAUCCUUAAAGAGUAAUGUCCGAGCAAACGAAAGAAAAAAAUAUAUAUAUAUAAUGAGAGGAAUUAGAAAAAGUGUCACAUCAACAAUACUCUUGUUUUGAGUCUUGGUACUUAUUUUUGUAUACACUUCUACAUUUUUAAGAACGUAGAAAUCAAAACCAUUUUUUACGAUUGACACUGUUAUUUUCUAUCUUUUUUUACUAACUUGAAAGUUAGAAUGACCAUUUAAACAGUGUCUUGAUGAUCUUUUCCAUUGGUAUUCUAUUUUGGUAGUUAGGAGGAAUUUUGCAUGUAAGUUAUUCAAGUUUGUUUGGUAAAGAUUUUUUUUAAAAUUAUUUUUAUUCACUAAUUUUACGAACCUACAAUAUUAAGAACUUCUUUGAAUUUUAUGUCAUUUUCUUGGAUACCCAACAUUAUAUAUAUAUUUUAAAAAUUUCAAAUAGUACUAAUAACUAAUAAGGGGACGUGGCACAACAUUUUUUUUUUCAUAUAAUUUCAGUUGGGCAUUCUCUGUUGCAAAGCUUUUGAGAAAUUAAAAAUUAGUUCCGAAACUUAUAAGUUGUUUUUGAAAAAUUUUCUAAAAGCGUUUCAUAUAAUUAAAAGAGUUUUUAAAGAAAACUGAUUUAAAAUGAAAAAAUCUUUUACAAAAAGUAGACCUGUAGUCUCUGUUCUUUCCUCCUGAAGCAAGGCAAGGAAUUUAAUCCGCAAAGGUUUCAUUGAAUUUUGAAUUUUUUAUGUUGGUGUAACACAUAUUUUGAUAAUUUUGUAAUUGUUAAAUUUUGAUCAAGAAAACUUAUAAUCAAAAAUAAANNNNNNNNNNNNNNNNNNNNNNNNNNNNNNNNNNNNNNNNNNNNNNNNNNNNNNNNNNNNNNNNNNNNNNNNNNNNNNNNNNNNNNNNNNNNNNNNNNNNNNNNNNNNNNNNNNNNNNNNNNNNNNNNNNNNNNNNNNNNNNNNNNNNNNNNNNNNNNNNNNNNNNNNNNNNNNNNNNNNNNNNNNNNNNNNNNNNNNNNNNNNNNNNNNNNNNNNNNNNNNNNNNNNNNNNNNNNNNNNNNNNNNNNNNNNNNNNNNNNNNNNNNNNNNNNNNNNNNNNNNNNNNNNNNNNNNNNNNNNNNNNNNNNNNNNNNNNNNNNNNNNNNNNNNNNNNNNNNNNNNNNNNNNNNNNNNNNNNNNNNNNNNNNNNNNNNNNNNNNNNNNNNNNNNNNNNNNNNNNNNNNNNNNNNNNNNNNNNNNNNNNNNNNNNNNNNNNNNNNNNNNNNNNNNNNNNNNNNNNNNNNNNNNNNNNNNNNNNNNNNNNNNNNNNNNNNNNNNNNNNNNNNNNNNNNNNNNNNNNNNNNNNNNNNNNNNNNNNNNNNNNNNNNNNNNNNNNNNNNNNNNNNNNNNNNNNNNNNNNNNNNNNNNNNNNNNNNNNNNNNNNNNNNNNNNNNNNNNNNNNNNNNNNNNNNNNNNNNNNNNNNNNNNNNNNNNNNNNNNNNNNNNNNNNNNNNNNNNNNNNNNNNNNNNNNNNNNNNNNNNNNNNNNNNNNNNNNNNNNNNNNNNNNNNNNNNNNNNNNNNNNNNNNNNNNNNNNNNNNNNNNNNNNNNNNNNNNNNNNNNNNNNNNNNNNNNNGUGGUGGUGGUGAAGAUGAUGACGGUUAGAUGGGAUGAUAGAAAUGGUGAAAUUUUUGGAUAAAAAAUAAGGGAAAAUUGUUGGGUGGUAGCUGGUGGUUGUGACAGUGAAGAUGCCUUUUGUGUUGGUGGUAGUGGGAUGACUUUGAUGGUUGUGUACAUAUAUAGUGGGCUUGACGGUGGUGAUGAUCAAUCGAUGUCAAUGGCAGUGGUUGAAAUUAGCGACAACAACGAUGAAGAGUAGAUGGAAUUUGAAUCGAGUGAUCGUGUUAGAAGGGAUUAUUGGUUGUCGAUAAUGAGGGAGUCAGUGGUGGUGGCAACAUCAACAGUGGCAGCGAUCGUAAUACCCUAUAGUGUCAUAUGUUAGAUGUGCAACAAGUUAUUUUUUGUAAAAUAAAAGGUUGGAGUAAUGCUAUUCGUAGUGAAAACUGUCAGUAGUCGCCCUAUAUAGCAUACAUUUGAUAAUUUGGUAUUUGAUAUAUAGAUAUGGUAGUUAUUUUUUGAAUUAUAUAUCAAAUGAAAAAAUGUCAAGUGUACGCUAUAUAAGGCGACUGUCAGUGAUCUUCACUUCAAAUAGCAUUACUCAAAAGGUUGUGUAUUCCUUUGUAAAUAAUUUGAUUGUCUAGUGCACAUAUGCAUUGUCCCAAAUACCAGGAACUAUGUGCCCAUGGGGACCCGAAUCACUAGGCUUGGAAAUGGAAGCCCAAUUCUACAACGACGCCCACUGAAGCCCCAUGCUUCACGCAUAAGGUUACCAAUCUAGAUCGACGGUUCGAAUAAUCCCACCACAAGCUGCAGUUUCAUUGGCUGGAAAAAUCAAACUGUAAUUUCUGAUUGGUCCACGUCACCCGCAAUGACAUAGCCCGUUGAACCUCAUGAAUGCCAGACACGCUCUAUAUAAACCACGUCCACCUCACGCACAGCCCAUUCAAUAAGAGAAGCUCUUCUUCUGAUUCUGAUUCUACAUUGCAGAAGUAAAUACGCAUUGUAAUUUGUAAGCAUAUAAACACACGUAUACAGAGAGCGUUUAUAUAUACAUAUAUCGAGAGGGGGAGAAGUUUUGAAGGUGAAGUCAUGGGUGGCUCGUGGAGGAGGAAUAGUUCAUUCAUUGUGCUAGCGAUUGUUUUCUUCGGUAAUUAUUAUUAUUUUUUAAUUUGUUGUGUUAUAUUAUAUUUUAAUCUCGUGAUAUUGAUCAAUGGAGGUGUUUUUCGUUAAUGAAAUGAAGAUAGAUCUAGAUCUGUUACGUACUGAUAAUUAAUAUGUACUUAGCAGAUCAAAUUGUGUAAUUGAAUAUGAUAUUUAGAUCUGAUAAGAGUUUCGAGAGUUUUUAAUGAGUUCAUAUCAUUUAUCAUUCUAAAAUUUCUGAUUUGUUUGGUUCAAUUUUACCUUUUGUAAUUCGAGGACAAUAAAAAAUAAUGAUAUGAACUACCAAGUCUACUUGUGCUGAAUCAGUAAUUGGAGAAAUCCCUCUUGCUGGUAUGGUUGCCGUGGACUUUAUAAUUAUUCCUUAAUUGGAAAAUUUGUUCUUUCUCUGCAAUUGGAAAGUUUGUUCAUGCUGGUAUGCCCUGAAUUUGGUAAAAGUCGCUGCUUCGUACAGAUAAUUUUCUCAAGUGAAGAAAUAAAGAAAAAAUAUAUUGCUGGAAAGGCUCAAUUAAAUGAUGCAAUUUAGCGAUGGUUAACAUUGUUGAAUGUAACCUAUAUGUGGGGGGUGCAAUGGAGACAAGUUUUAUAUCAAUAGAUAUAUGGCCAUUCUAUAUCUGCAUAAGUUUUUAGAUGAGAGUUAACAACCUUGAAACAAACUUUAGAAUAUGGAAUUCACUCUGUGGCCUGAAUGGGUAAAUGCCAGCAUGAAAGAUUGAUAUUGUCAACAUGUAAUUGUUUAGUUAAAACACUACUGCCUCUCAUACGUCCUUGGCUCAUGUUCUCAUUGAUUUUGGCUUCUGUGUUCGAAUUGUUACUAACUUGCUAAAUGAGUCAUGAAUACUAAUAUUGAUUAACCUUGUCUUAUCAAACAGGCUGUCUAUCAGCAAUUUCUAUUGCGAAGGAGGAAGCCACCAAACUGGGAACAGUUAUUGGUAUCGAUCUCGGUACAACCUAUUCCUGUGUUGGUGUUUACAAGAAUGGGCAUGUUGAAAUCAUAGCUAAUGAUCAAGGGAACCGUAUCACACCAUCAUGGGUGGCAUUCACUGACAGUGAAAGACUGAUUGGUGAGGCUGCGAAGAACCAGGCAGCUGUGAACCCAGAAAGGACUAUCUUUGAUGUUAAAAGACUCAUAGGAAGAAAGUAAAUCUUUUUUCUUAAAUGUAUUAAAGUACUUUUUUUUUACAGUGUUUUGGUGAUAAAAUAUUAAUGAAAGUUUUAAACUUGUUUUUUUGAUAGGUUUGAUGACAAGGAAGUUCAGAGGGAUAUGAAGCUUUUUCCUUUCAAAAUCGUCAACAAAGAUGGAAAGCCUUAUAUCCAAGUCAAAAUUAAGGAUGGGGAGACUAAAGUCUUCAGCCCUGAGGAAGUCAGUGCUAUGAUUUUGACUAAGAUGAAGGAAACAGCUGAAGCAUUCCUUGGAAAGAAAAUUAAGGAUGCAGUGGUAACAGUUCCUGGUAAUUUGACUUUAAGUUUUAUGGUUUACUGUUGUUUUAUGGUUUCUAUUUUAGUGAAACAUGAACUGUGAUUGCAUUGUAGUAUUUGAUUAUUCUUAAUAUUUAUUUGUGGUCAUAUAUUGCAGCAUACUUCAAUGAUGCCCAGAGGCAGGCCACCAAGGACGCUGGUGUAAUUGCUGGGCUCAAUGUAGCAAGAAUUAUUAAUGAGCCAACAGCAGCAGCAAUUGCCUAUGGUUUGGAUAAGAAGGGUGGCGAGAAGAACAUCCUUGUCUUUGACCUUGGUGGCGGAACCUUUGAUGUCAGCAUCUUGACCAUUGACAAUGGCGUCUUUGAGGUGCUUUCCACGAAUGGAGACACCCAUCUUGGAGGUACGGAUCUUUUUUGUUAAUAUCUGGGUUUUAUGUAUCUGAUAAAUGCGUUUAUUGGGAAAUCAGUAUUUGGAAAAUGACUGAUUUAUUUCUUUAGCAAGUGUCAUUGAAUCAUGCAAUUAUAGUAACUAAUUUUUGAAGCUUUAUACAUAUUCAAAUAAACGGCCUUUGAACACAUUGUCUUUUUGUGAUAUAGUUGAGAAAUCAAUUUGAUGUAUGAUUGAUUCACCAAUUUGAAAGUGCGGAUUUUUCCAAGAAGCAUCUCAUGAUAACAUGUUAAGUUUAAUUUUAGCUUUCAAAAUGGUACAUAUAUGUUAUUCUGCACUCCAAAGAGGAAGUCUUAAAGGGUGAUAAUUUUGUGAGUUAUUGUGUUAGGUUUAAUUAUGCUGAAAGUCCAUCUGUUGUGCAGGAGAGGAUUUUGAUCAUAGAAUUAUGGACUACUUCAUCAAGCUGAUUAAGAAAAAGCACGGAAAGGAUAUCAGCAAAGAUAACAGGGCUCUUGGGAAGCUUAGGAGAGAAUGUGAACGUGCUAAGAGAGCCCUGAGCAGCCAGCAUCAAGUCCGUGUCGAAAUUGAAUCACUUUUUGAUGGUGUGGAUUUCUCUGAACCAUUGACCCGUGCCAGAUUUGAGGAGUUGAACAAUGAUCUCUUCAGAAAAACCAUGGGACCUGUGAAGAAAGCCAUGGAAGAUGCUGGGUUGCAGAAGAACCAGAUUGAUGAAAUUGUCCUUGUUGGUGGAAGCACUAGGAUUCCUAAAGUUCAACAACUCCUGAAGGAUUAUUUUGAUGGGAAGGAACCAAACAAGGGGGUGAACCCAGACGAAGCUGUAGCUUAUGGUGCUGCUAUUCAAGGAAGUAUUCUUAGUGGAGAGGGUGGUGAUGAAACCAAAGGUAUUUAUCGCAUCUAUUUUUUUUUACCUUAUUGACCAAUGAAAUGCUGUACAUGUGCAUCUAUCUUGAUAAAGUGAUGUUUAAGUAGCUUCAUUCAGACUAAUCUGUGUGCACUUAAAUGCAGACAUUCUUCUCUUGGACGUGGCACCACUCACCCUUGGUAUUGAAACUGUGGGUGGAGUUAUGACUAAGUUGAUUCCGAGGAACACUGUUAUCCCAACCAAGAAGUCUCAAGUUUUCACAACUUACCAAGACCAGCAAACUACUGUCUCUAUUCAGGUAAUGCAUCCCAAGCUGAAACAUUUCUUUCCCUGUCCGUGCUGUUUGAGAAAUUGAUAGAUAAUUAUGUAUGGCCAAGUCAUAAAUUUUUUUACUUACAAGUCAAAUUUGAAAUAAGUGAAUUGCUUAGCUUGACAUUACUUUUCAGCAGAACUAUUUUAGUCCAAUUUAAUUUCUUCUUUUUAAGCUUAGCCAGACAUGCUCAUUUUUUUUGCAUGAAAUGGCUGGCACAUAUGCAUCUUAACUGAGAUGAUCGGACAAUUUGAUGAUAGGUUUUUGAAGGAGAAAGGAGUCUUACAAAGGAUUGCAGGCUGCUUGGAAAUUUCGAUCUCUCUGGAAUUCCUCCAGCCCCAAGGUUUUUUGUGUGCAUCCAAUCUGUUUGUAUUAAAUUUAUUGUUACAUUUUGUAUCUGAAUUGAAUCCCGUGCAGGGGAACACCUCAAAUUGAGGUCACAUUCGAAGUCGAUGCCAAUGGAAUAUUGAAUGUCAAGGCAGAAGACAAGGGGACGGGUAAAUCCGAGAAGAUUACUAUCACUAACGAGAAGGGUCGCUUGAGCCAAGAGGAGAUUGACAGAAUGGUUCGUGAGGCAGAAGAGUUUGCUGAGGAGGACAAGAAGGUGAAGGAGAGAAUUGAUGCUCGCAAUAGUCUCGAAACGUAUGUAUACAACAUGAAGAACCAAAUCAGCGACAAGGACAAACUUGCUGACAAGCUUGAGUCUGAUGAGAAGGAGAAAAUUGAGACUGCUACGAAGGAGGCACUUGAGUGGUUAGACGACAACCAAACAGCCGAGAAAGAGGACUAUGAAGAGAAGCUUAAGGAGGUGGAAGCUGUAUGCAACCCGAUCAUCACAGCCGUCUAUCAAAGAUCCGGGGGAGCACCUGGUGGGACAUCAGAAGAUGAUGAUGAUGAUUCCCAUGACGAACUGUAGGUAAUUUUAAGAGUUUUUGUCGACCAGUGAUGGGACAACAUGAAGUAAGAAACGACCGAGUUAAAUGUAGUGUAAUUUUUGUUGUGGUAGAAGUUCCGUCCCCUUUUCGCUGCUUUUUCUUGAGCAGAUGAAGAUACUUCCAAC